ACCAGACUCCUACGGGAGGCAGCAGUGGGGAAUAUUGCACAAUGGGGGAAACCCUGAUGCAGCGGCGCCGCGUGAGUGAAGAAGUAUCUCGGUACGUAAAGCUCUAUCAGCAGGGAAGAAAAUGACGGUACCUGACCAAGAAGCCCCGGCUAACUACGUGCCAGCAGCCGCGGUAAUACGUAGGGGGCAAGCGUUAUCCGGAUUUACUGGGUGUAAAGGGAGCGUAGACGGCAGCGCAAGUCUGGAGUGAAAUGCCGGGGCCCAACCCCGGAACUGCUUUGGAAACUGUGCAGCUCGAGUGAAGUAGAGGUAGGCGGAAUUCCCGGUGUAGCGGUGAAAUGCGUAGAGAUCGGGAGGAACACCAGUGGCGAAGGCGGCCUUCUGGGCUUUAACUGACGCUGAGGCACGAAAGCGUGGGUAACAAACAGGAUUAGAUACCCCCGUAUU
rnacentral:rRNA from 1 species